GUUGAACCCAGUCUGAUCAAUUGAACCAUCAUGGACCAUAUGAGGCAAUGGUCCAUGUUAGAAUUAGUCAUGUUUUCGCCCCAUUGUUACAUUCCUCAUACAUAUAACUUUGCGAGGUCCAAAAUUCUUUUUAUCCAUUUAUUGUCAUGAAAAGGUUAGACAAAUUUAGUUAAAAUUAUGAAAUAUUAUGAUUCGACGGUUUUUUAAAUGACCUCGUUACUAAGUAUCUUAGAGGGACAAAGACAAUACAUUGAUUUAAUUAACAUAAUUUGAUAAUAAUAUUGAUUUUAGUGUGUUUUACAACUUCAUAUGUGCGAUUUUUUAAAAUUAUUUUAAGGAGUGCAUGAGAUUCACAUAUUAUAAAAGUGAUCAAAUCUUGUUUUAUGUGUAACAUAAAAAGAGAGGAAAGUUUACUAAAAAAAAUAAAAAGAGAGGAAAAUAUGGUUGCGAUAUACAAGUUGAUUUAUGCUAUGUUUCUAUUUCUUUCUCUAAUACUUAUUAUAAUGAAUGUUGAUGCAUUUUCGGGAUGUAUUAGUGACUUCGAUUGUGAAAGUGCUAAGUGUUGUGCAAAUUGUGGUAUGAUAUGUCUAAAUAAUCGGUGUCAAUGUAUAAAACAGCACUAGUUCUAUAAGUACAAGAUCAAAGAGAGUACACCAAGACCUUAUAUCGCAUCCGCAAUAUUAAUCCAUUAGUUGUUAUAAAAUUAUUAUUGUGGAACCAAAUAAAUGUAUUUUUUUUUUCUUCCUAAUUUCAUAAACCUUGUAGUUAUCGUUUUUGUACUCUCUAAUAAGAUGAUUGUAGUGAAAUGAAAUAUGGUCAUUAAAGAUAGUCAAUAAUUACUUAAUAACAUGCAGUGAAAUUAAUUUAAAAACUUCACACAACAA